CGAAAACGCAAUUAAUAGUUCACUUGUGAUAAUAUUUUUCGAAAAAAGUAUUUAUUAGAUAAGAUUUUUUCGAAAGAUGUAAAAGGACAAAUGAACAAAAGAUUUCCGGUGGCAAUAGCGGAGGUUAAAAACCCGUUCCCAUACCGAACACGGAAGUGAAGCCCUCCAGCGCCGAUGGUACUGAUUACUCGGGAGAGUAGGUCGCUGCCGGAA
rnacentral:rRNA from 1 species